GAUGGAGCCCAUAAGGAACAGGAAAUAAGCACUACUCUUACCCGCAACAUCAGGUCCAGCAGCUUCCGUGGAGAGCUAGCACUUGUCCUGCAGCUUACUGUGGAGAAGUGUUUAGACUCGGCACAUUUUUACCCCAGCAUCUUUAAACAUCCCCACAAUAUGUGAAAACUGCUGAAACUGUUACUCGCGAACUCCAGGUGGGAAGGGCUAAGCUCCCAGCCUUGAACAACCUAAACCUGUCAAUAUUUCAGAUCUUCACCUGAGUUUAGCAGAUGGGACCUGUCAUUACCAGCAAAGGAAAAGGACCGUGUUUUCCUUAUGAGCUCAUCAUCUACUCCUUUCGUGACAUCAUUGCAGAAUAUUUAGCUAAGUAACUUGAUAAGCCUUUGGGGGUUGUUUUGGGGAGGGUUUUUUUUUUUUUUCACUUUUAAAUCAAUAAGGGCUCCAUUGUUGCUCCAGAUAAGCAGCCAUUUUGGGUUACUUGAGUACAAGCUGCAGAUAAGAUGACUGUCUCCUGGAGGCUUUUGUUCUCUCUUUUUUGCUUGUGKUUUUUUUGUUUCUUCCCCUCUUAAAGUAAAAUAGGGGUAGCACUAGCUGAAAGUUCACUAUGAGGUUGUUCUUCAUGCAUGGGAAAGUAGAGUGAUCACAAGCCCUUCCGCAAUGACUAGCUGGGGAAUCUGCACUGCCCUUGGGACUCCAGGGCCUGAAUUUGCAAGUCUUGCUUGCGUAUGUGAGCUAGCAUGCGCGCGCACACACACUGCAAUAUUGCAGCCUUUUCCCCCUGCAGGGUGGGUUGAAGGCUGGGCAUACUGUUAAUAUAAUUAAUAUCUAAUGUUUCUCUGUUAAAGAUGUCUGUGAUGCAGAAUCUGGGAACCAAGAUCCUUGCAUGAUGAAAAUGGACACAACUCUGCAUCAGCCCUGGAAAACACCGAUUUGUGAGCUUACAGCACGAUAUGUGGGAAUACUGUCCUUCAUCUUUUACAUGCCGAGUGCUGAGGCCUCGUCAGACAAAACUCCCCAUCAGAAAACAGCAGGGACUUUUACCUGGUGAUCUGCAGAAGCAGGCAGCAGCC
rnacentral:lncRNA from 1 species